AACGAACGCUGGCGGCAGGCUUAACACAUGCAAGUCGAACGCCCCGCAAGGGGAGUGGCAGACGGGUGAGUAACGCGUGGGAACAUACCCUUUUCUACGGAAUAGCUCUGGGAAACUGGAAUUAAUACCGUAUACGCCCUACGGGGGAAAGAUUUAUCGGGGAAGGAUUGGCCCGCGUUGGAUUAGCUAGUUGGUGGGGUAAAGGCCUACCAAGGCGACGAUCCAUAGCUGGUCUGAGAGGAUGAUCAGCCACAUUGGGACUGAGACACGGCCCAAACUCCUACGGGAGGCAGCAGUGGGGAAUAUUGGACAAUGGCGCAAGCCUGAUCCAGCCAUGCCGCGUGAGUGAUGAAGGCCUUAGGGUUGUAAAGCUCUUUCACCGAUGAAGAUAAUGACGGUAGUCGGAGAAGAAGCCCCGGCUAACUUCGUG
rnacentral:rRNA from 1 species